UACAGAGGGUGCAAACGUUGCUCGGAAUCAUUGGGCGUAAAGCGCACGUAGGCGGCCCAGCAAGCGGGGAGUGAAAGCCCUCGGCUUAACCGAGGAAGUGCUUUCCGAACUACUGGGCUUGAAUACUGGAGAGGAUCGCGGAAUUCCCGGUGUAGAGGUGAAAUUCGUAGAUAUCGGGAGGAACACCAGUGGCGAAGGCGGCGAUCUGGACAGAUAUUGACGCUGAGGUGCGAAAGCGUGGGGAGCAAACAGG
rnacentral:rRNA from 1 species